UAGUAGUCAAACCACCUGAUAUUUUCUUCUGACAUCCUCAUGGAUUGCCUUGCAUACUGCAUUUUUAAAACCACUGAUUUAGAUAGAUUAGAGAAUACAGUAAAGUAGUAUGAAAACAAGGCAGGGAAAAGUAGGUUGGGCUCAAGUAUUUUAGGACAUUUCAGAUCUGGCCAACUGACUGAUGACCCAACUCAGUAAGAUACUCCAACAUAGACAAUAUUUAACAAAAGAACCCCAAGUUAAAUAAACCUGCUCAGCAAACUUAAUGGUCUAAAACCUAAAAACUAGUUCAAGAGAAUUAAGAGUAAAAUCAGAAGUUUAGGUCAUGGACAAACUUUUGAAUUUUUAUUCUUCAUAUCCCUAACCCAUGUCAAAGACAAGACUUUUCCUGGGAAACCAUGUUAAGAGAGCAUCACCUCAAUAUCUGAGCAGAUCUGGAAGACUACAGCCUCAUUUCUUGUCUGCAGCCCUACUAAGGCCUUUCUCAAUUGUACAAAAUAGGCUUCUAUUUUCAUUUAUUUGUACACAUGAAUUUUGCAUGUGGGAUUUUCCUUUUCUUCUCCACAGUGUGGAUGUUUGUUUACCACAUAAUCAAUUAUUUAAAAAGACUGUUGCCACCACAUGAGAGAACUUGUUCUAGGCUCGUUUUUUAAUUCCUAGAACUCUCAGAAAGAGUUCUGAUUCCAAAUGGUGAAAUAAGUGAUUCCAAUUCAGUUGGUUCCAGGAGCAAGACUGAUUGGUACCAUCAGUGGAGCUAAUUCACCAAAAGGGUGGAGUAGACUAUAUUCCUAAGGAUUCCUAUACUUCUAAAACUACAGAGCUUGGGAUUUACUUAGCAAUCAGUAGGGGACCAUUGUUCUCAUACCAGAAGAAAGAAGAAGAGGUAGGAAGGAGAUAAACUUAUAUGAUUAGGAACUGGGUUGCCCUCAAAAAUGAAAGGAAAAGAAAAGACCAUUGAUAUAAACUUUCUAAUGCCUGGAAAAGAUCAGAAGGAAACAGGCAAGCAAGACAACUUGGAAGAUACCCAAUGAAUUGAUUUAUAUAUUUAAAAGAAAAAGCAAAUUGUGCAUUACAAAGAUUCAAAGUUUCACAUGCAAUAAUCUCUGUUCUACUUUGUACAGGGAAAUUAUCAUUUUAUUUAGUGUUUAAGUGUAGAAUUAAAUAAUAAUAAAAUCAUUUUUGGCUUUCAA